rnacentral:rRNA from 1 species
UACGUAGGGACCAAGCGUUGUUCGGAUUUACUGGGCGUAAAGGGCGCGUAGGCGGCAAUUCAAGUCAGCUGUGAAAUCUCCGGGCUUAACUCGGAACGGUCAGCUGAUACUGCUUUGCUAGAGUGCAGAAGGGGCAAUCGGAAUUCUUGGUGUAGCGGUGAAAUGCGUAGAUAUCAGGAGGAACACCGGUGGCGAAGGCGGAUCUCUGGGCCUUACCUGACGCUCAGGUGCGAAAGCUAGGGGAGCGAACAGG